AUUGAACGCUGGCGGCAUGCCUUACACAUGCGAGUCGAACGGUAACAGGUCUUCGGAUGCUGACGAGUGGCGAACGGGUGAGUAAUACAUCGGAACGUGCCCGAGAGUGGGGGAUAACGAGGCGAAAGCUUUGCUAAUACCGCAUACGAUCUCAGGAUGAACGCAGGGGACCGCAAGGCCUUGCGCUCACGGAGCGGCCGAUGGCAGAUUAGGUAGUUGGUGGGAUAAAAGCUUACCAAGCCGACGAUCUGUAGCUGGUCUGAGAGGACGACCAGCCACACUGGGACUGAGACACGGCCCAGACUCCUACGGGAGGCAGCAGUGGGGAAUUUUGGACAAUGGGCGCAAGCCUGAUCCAGCCAUGCCGCGUGCAGGAUGAAGGCCUUCGGGUUGUAAACUGCUUUUGUACGGAACGAAAAGACUCUGGUUAAUACCUGGGGUCCAUGACGGUACCGUAAGAAUAAGCACCGGCUAACUACGUGCCAGCCGCCGCAGUAAUAC
rnacentral:rRNA from 1 species